rnacentral:rRNA from 1 species
CAUUAAAGAGUUCUAUAACUCCCAAACCCAUGUGAACAUACCUAACGUUGCCUCGGCAGGUCGCACCUACCUUGUAGCACCCUACCCUGUAGGGCCUACCCGGGAGGUGCGGGUAAGCCUGCCGGCGGCCCACCAAACUCUGUUUGAUAUUGAAUUCUGAACCUAUAACUAAAUAAGUUAAAACUUUCAACAACGGAUCUCUUGGUUCUGGCAUCGAUGAAGAACGCAGCGAAAUGCGAUAAGUAAUGUGAAUUGCAGAAUUCAGUGAAUCAUCGAAUCUUUGAACGCAUAUUGCGCCCAUUAGUAUUCUAGUGGGCAGGACCGUUCGAGCGUCAUUUCAACCCUUAAGCCUUCGUUGCUUAGUGUUGGGAGCCUACGGCAACGUAGCUCCUCAAAGUUAGUGGCGGAGUUGGUUCACACUCUAGACGUAGUAAUUUUUUAUCUCGCCUAUUAGUUGGACUAAUCCCCUGCCGUAAAACCCCCAAUUUAUCAAGGUUGACCUCGAAUCGGUUCAGACAAACUCGCUAAAUUGAAGCAUCUUAGUCAGCGAAGGAAAAG